UACGUAGGGUGCGAGCGUUAAUCGGAAUUACUGGGCGUAAAGCGUGCGUAGGCGGUUUUGUAAGUCAGGUGUGAAAUCCCCGGGCUCAACCUGGGAAUGGCAUUUGGGACUGCAAGGCUGGAGUGCGGCAGAGGAGACUGGAAUUCCUGGUGUAGCAGUGAAAUGCGUAGAUAUCAGGAGGAAUACCGAUGGCGAAGGCAGGUCUCUGGGCUGACACUGACGCUCAUGCACGAAAGCGUGGGGAGCAAACAGG
rnacentral:rRNA from 1 species